GACGAACGCUGGCGGCGUGCUUAACACAUGCAAGUCGAGCGGUAAGGCCCUUCGGGGUACACGAGCGGCGAACGGGUGAGUAACACGUGGGUGACCUGCCCUCCACUUCGGGAUAAGCCUGGGAAACUGGGUCUAAUACCGGAUAGGACCAUUGGAUGCAUGUCUGGUGGUGGAAAGUUUUGUCGGUGGGGGAUGGGCCCGCGGUCUAUCAGCUUGUUGGUGGGGUGAUGGCCUACCAAGGCGACGACGGAUAGCCGGCCUGAGAGGGUGAUCGGCCACACUGGGACUGAGACACGGCCCCAGACUCCUACGGGAGGCAGCAGUGGGGAAUCUUGCGCAAUGGGCGGAAGCCUGACGCAGCAACGCCG
rnacentral:rRNA from 1 species